GGGGGAGAGGGAGGGGCCGGAGCGGCCGCCGGGUUCCGGCGAUGGCGAUCCGGCUGCUUUCGGUUUCGCUUCGCUCCCCUCAGAAACGAGGGGAAGGCCGGGCCGGGGCCUGAGCGUGGAUCCUCCGUACGGGAGUUUUACCUUGGUAAAGGUAUACUGGACGAGUAGCAAGUAUUGCCUUCCUUGCAAGGUGCUUUUAGGAUGUCUGAAGAUGACGAAAAAGUUAGGCUCCGUCGAAUUGAACCUGCCAUUCAGAAGUUCAUUAAAGUGGCAAUUCCAACAGAUUUGGAAAGAUUAAGAAAACACCAAAUAAA